rnacentral:rRNA from 1 species
AUGGAGGCAUUGGCUGCGGCACGCGGCGAGCGCGUGGCGACGGCGACGCGCGGCGAGUCUGCGGCUGUGCGGUGUGAUGUCGUGCGCGCGAACAGCACGGUGGUCGCGGAGACGAGGAGGUCGCGGUGGACCUGCGUGGUGGCGCAGAGGCUGCGGUGGCGCGGCGUGGCGGCAUGGAGGUGCUGCGCUGCGGUUGAGGCCGCAGCGGUGCAGGGCAAUAAGCCGCGGCGGCGUGCCGGGUGCGACCGGUGCGUGUUAUGGAUGCGCACUGGACGCGUCGGGCGCGUCGGGACCGCGGGCGCGCGUACGAGCGUGCGGUUGACGUUGGGAGGAGGCGUAUGUCGCCGUUGUGCUCGAGUCCGUGCUCGAGUUCAGCUACAUCCUUCCGGCGUUUGUCGCUGCGGCUGCCAUGGCGGACGCGAAGGCGGCGGAUGGUGA